GUUCAAGUUGCUGUUCCAGCAGAGCAGAAUCCGCCGCCGCCACGUACUGGGACAGGUCAGUCUUCAUGGAGGUCAAGUCUUUCAAUCCACCGGCUAGAUGGCGCAAAGAGACGUCUGUCUUCUGCAUGGCACAAAGACGACAGACUCGUCCAUCUUCACGGGAAUCGGCCUCUUCAACUGGGUCCUCAGCUCAUCCACUUCACACAUUCUGCCGUUGAUGUCGUCCUGACACCGUGACCAGUUCUACGACAGAGAUGCACGAAUCAAAUAGUUUGUUCCGUUUUGUCACGUUGCUAUUUUGCAUUUUUCACGAGCCACUGUGAUGGAAUGAAAGGACCCAGCUGUUUCGGGAUGUGGAUCACGGAUAGAUUUGCGCUGUACUUUGAUCCCUCUCGGCAGGAGCUUUGUGCUCGGACUCACGCCAUGCCUGCAUGUGUGUGUCUGCAUUUGUGUGUGUUUAUGAUGGGAUCAGGAGCCUGGAUAUGGGUCAUGCAAAGCUGACCCCACCCCUCCUACUACACUAACCCUGUAUGUCUAUUAGUCCAGAGCUUGCAUCUAGUCUUAUAAAACUUCUGUGCGUGCUCUUCCAACUUCACCACAUGACUCUCGGGUCUUUUAAACAAUCACCGUCACAUCAUUAACUGUAUGUAAAUGACACCAUGGAAGGAUUGUGUUACUUAUGGAAGUACCUCAAGUGUAGCGCUGACGAGACUCCUUCUUUUUUGGACCAACGAGUUCGUGUGUUUCCAGGCCCCUUCUACGGCUUGAAUAUCCGACUCCAGUCGACUUCGACUGUCUGAGUCCGACGUUACCUCACAUAAACGUCUGCCAGUUUCCAAUGUCGCUGUGAGUAUGGUUGAGCGGUGCUCCAGAGCUCCGUUUAUACACUUGAGAGAGAAAUGUUGAAUGUCAACUUUAGGGGUUAGUUAAUUAACACUUUCGAACUAACUAACCUGGCAAUGAUGUUGUGAUGUGGCGGGUAAUGUAGUGAUUGACAGCAGGGUGUCAACAACUCUCAGUGUGUUCCUCAGAAGCUUCAUGCCACGUUUAAAGAUCGUCCGCUGGGAGAUAUGUUCUCUCAUUGAGGCCCGGUGCUGGCCAGCCAGCAUCAAGAACCCGAACCACCUCUCUCGCAGAUGGACCGCUCGCGUCAAGAGUUCAGAUCUGCAGUAGAAGUCAAAGUUGUGGGACUUGAUUGCAUUACAGAGCAGACUCUGGAGAAGCUCGUGUCCAGUAAUUACUUUAAUCUGACGCCUCUUUAUGGGUGAGAGACAAAAAAUGACAACAACUGGAAAAUGUCUUCCUGACAAUGUGGGCACCUUUUGCGCAACCUUGUACCUGAUGGACAGCAAGUAUCUCUUGGUGGUUGAAGCCACUUGGAAGUUCUGACUCCAGCUCCUCCAGGAUGAAUGUUACCUCCUGAUACUUUUGAUGAAAGUCUUGAGAGUGCUGAUGCUCACGUUGCAGAGUUCUG